CAACCAGUGACGUCACAGAUUUGGAAUUCUCCCUGCUCAUUGAGAAGGUUAACUCAACAGAUGACAUGAGUGAGCUUACAGAUGAGAUUUUAAGCUGUGGAUACACUGGAAAAGUGUCUGCUGACAUGAAAAGCAACAUCAUCAGAGCCAUUGUUUUACACUCCACUAUGAGAGUUGUUCCAGUGCUUGAUCAGCUGCGAAAAGGCCUGCAGCU